UUAAGCGACUAAGCGUACACGGUGGAUGCCCUGGCAGUCAGAGGCGAUGAAGGACGUGCUAAUCUGCGAAAAGCGUCGGUAAGGUGAUAUGAACCGUUAUAACCGGCGAUGUCCGAAUGGGGAAACCCAGUGCAAUUCGUUGCACUAUCGUUAACUGAAUACAUAGGUUAACGAGGCGAACCGGGGGAACUGAAACAUCUAAGUACCCCGAGGAAAAGAAAUCAACCGAGAUUCCCCCAGUAGCGGCGAGCGAACGGGGAGCAGCCCAGAGUCUGAAUCAGCUUGUGUGUUAGUGGAACGGUCUGGAAAGUCCGACGGUACAGGGUGAUAGUCCCGUACACCAAAAUGCACAGGCUGUGAACUCGAAGAGUAGGGCGGGACACGUGGUAUCCUGUCUGAAUAUGGGGGGACCAUCCUCCAAGGCUAAAUACUCCUGACUGACCGAUAGUGAACCAGUACCGUGAGGGAAAGGCGAAAAGAACCCCGGCGAGGGGAGUGAAAAAGAACCUGAAACCGUGUACGUACAAGCAGUGGGAGCACCUUCGGGUGUGACUGCGUACCUUUUGUAUAAUGGGUCAGCGACUUAUAUUCUGUAGCAAGGUUAACCGUAUAGGGGAGCCGCAGGGAAACCGAGUCUUAACUGGGCGUUAAGUUGCAGGGUAUAGACCCGAAACCCGGUGAUCUAGCCAUGGGCAGGUUGAAGGUUGGGUAACACUAACUGGAGGACCGAACCGACUAAUGUUGAAAAAUUAGCGGAUGACUUGUGGCUGGGGGUGAAAGGCCAAUCAAACCGGGAGAUAGCUGGUUCUCCCCGAAAGCUAUUUAGGUAGCGCCUCGUGAACUCAUCUUCGGGGGUAGAGCACUGUUUCGGCUAGGGGGUCAUCCCGACUUACCAACCCGAUGCAAACUACGAAUACCGAAGAAUGUUAUCACGGGAGACACACGGCGGGUGCUAACGUCCGUCGUGAAGAGGGAAACAACCCAGACCGCCAGCUAAGGUCCCAAAGUCAUGGUUAAGUGGGAAACGAUGUGGGAAGGCACAGACAGCCAGGAUGUUGGCUUAGAAGCAGCCAUCAUUUAAAGAAAGCGUAAUAGCUCACUGGUCGAGUCGGCCUGCGCGGAAGAUGUAACGGGGCUAAACCAUGCACCGAAGCUGCGGCAGCGACACUAUGUGUUGUUGGGUAGGGGAGCGUUCUGUAAGCCUGCGAAGGUGUGCUGUGAGGCAUGCUGGAGGUAUCAGAAGUGCGAAUGCUGACAUAAGUAACGAUAAAGCGGGUGAAAAGCCCGCUCGCCGGAAGACCAAGGGUUCCUGUCCAACGUUAAUCGGGGCAGGGUGAGUCGACCCCUAAGGCGAGGCCGAAAGGCGUAGUCGAUGGGAAACAGGUUAAUAUUCCUGUACUUGGUGUUACUGCGAAGGGGGGACGGAGAAGGCUAUGUUAGCCGGGCGACGGUUGUCCCGGUUUAAGCAUGUAGGCUGGUUAUCCAGGCAAAUCCGGAUAAUCAAGGCUGAGGUGUGAUGACGAGGCACUACGGUGCUGAAGUAACAAAUGCCCUGCUUCCAGGAAAAGCCUCUAAGCAUCAGGUAACAUCAAAUCGUACCCCAAACCGACACAGGUGGUCAGGUAGAGAAUACCAAGGCGCUUGAGAGAACUCGGGUGAAGGAACUAGGCAAAAUGGUGCCGUAACUUCGGGAGAAGGCACGCUGGUGUGUAGGUGAAGUCCCUGCGGAUGGAGCUGAGACCAGUCGAAGAUACCAGCUGGCUGCAACUGUUUAUUAAAAACACAGCACUGUGCAAACACGAAAGUGGACGUAUACGGUGUGACGCCUGCCCGGUGCCGGAAGGUUAAUUGAUGGGGUUAUCCGUAAGGAGAAGCUCUUGAUCGAAGCCCCGGUAAACGGCGGCCGUAACUAUAACGGUCCUAAGGUAGCGAAAUUCCUUGUCGGGUAAGUUCCGACCUGCACGAAUGGCGUAAUGAUGGCCAGGCUGUCUCCACCCGAGACUCAGUGAAAUUGAACUCGCUGUGAAGAUGCAGUGUACCCGCGGCAAGACGGAAAGACCCCGUGAACCUUUACUAUAGCUUGACACUGAACAUUGAGCCUUGAUGUGUAGGAUAGGUGGGAGGCUUUGAAGCGUGGACGCCAGUCUGCGUGGAGCCAACCUUGAAAUACCACCCUUUAAUGUUUGAUGUUCUAACGUUGGCCCCUUACCGGGGUUGCGGACAGUGUCUGGUGGGUAGUUUGACUGGGGCGGUCUCCUCCCAAAGCGUAACGGAGGAGCACGAAGGUUAGCUAAUCCUGGUCGGACAUCAGGAGGUUAGUGCAAUGGCAUAAGCUAGCUUGACUGCGAGCGUGACGGCGCGAGCAGGUGCGAAAGCAGGUCAUAGUGAUCCGGUGGUUCUGAAUGGAAGGGCCAUCGCUCAACGGAUAAAAGGUACUCCGGGGAUAACAGGCUGAUACCGCCCAAGAGUUCAUAUCGACGGCGGUGUUUGGCACCUCGAUGUCGGCUCAUCACAUCCUGGGGCUGAAGUAGGUCCCAAGGGUAUGGCUGUUCGCCAUUUAAAGUGGUACGCGAGCUGGGUUUAGAACGUCGUGAGACAGUUCGGUCCCUAUCUGCCGUGGGCGCUGGAGAAUUGAGGGGGGCUGCUCCUAGUACGAGAGGACCGGAGUGGACGCAUCACUGGUGUUCGGGUUGUCAUGCCAAUGGCACUGCCCGGUAGCUAAAUGCGGAAGAGAUAAGUGCUGAAAGCAUCUAAGCACGAAACUUGCCCCGAGAUGAGUUCUCCCUGAGACUUUAAGUCUCCUGAAGGAACGUUAAAGACGAUGACGUUGAUAGGCCGGGUGUGUAAGCGCAGCGAUGCGUUGAGCUAACCGGUACUAAUGAACCGUGAGGCUUAACCUU
rnacentral:rRNA from 2 species